CCCUUGAGCUUUGUUCCGGAUGCCUCAGCUUGUCUUCGCAGGCAUUUCAUUUCAGCCUGGGCAGUUGAGCCCAGCUGCAUCAUAAAUCUUUGAAAAAUCUUCAAAGUCCUUGUAUCACAUCCUAAUAUUUCACAUUAUUAAAAGUUAUUUUUUUGUGUGAGUUUAGUUUUUUAAAUGUUCGUUUUUAAAGCUCCUGCAACACUAUGAGCUAUUGGUCAUUAGGAAAUGUAUUUGUGUGUUUCCUAGACAACUAGAAUCAUGUUUUAUAUGAAAGAAUAUUUUUCAAACGUGUAUGAAUAUAUUCUAAACUACACAGGGGUAAGUUUUUGUUUUAGGUUAUUUUGGGCAAGAAAGUAGUCUGAUGGAUAUCCUGGUAUUUGUAUAAUAACCAAUUAGAGGUCAGAGGAGUGAUUUUUGGGGUUUUCUCUACCAUCUCUUCACCACAGAGAAGGUAUAGGUUAGUAAAGGGCAGAAUUGGGAUUUGGAUCUACUUCUGAAGGAUACUAAAACCUCUAAUCUUUGUUUGAUCAAGUGGAUAUGGUGAAUAUCUUCAUUAUUUUAUCAAAUUUGAUACUUGUUAUCCCUAAAACUAUUAUUCAUUUUCCAGAAUGGUCCAAAAUUAUUAUCCACUUUCCAGAAUUCCCUAAAAGUAAAUUAAGAGAGCUAUGGAAAGCUGUUGAAUAAACCAGGAAGAAUGGUAAGCUCUUUGAAGCUACUCUUGUUAUUCAUCUGAAAUUACACAUAUUUUCAUGUACUCUUUACUUUGUUUUCAUUGUUGCAGAUGCAAAAUAUGACAUUGGAAAACCAGGAAAUAGAACCUUUGCUUUGGUUUAAAAAUGAGGUGCCUCCCAAAAGCUCAUAUGUGAGACAACUCAAGAAUGUUCAGAGCUGUGACAUAUUCAGUGAAUCAAUUCACUGAUGUGGAGUAACUCCAUGAUAAAUGUAGACAAGUCAGAUGUGGCCCUUUCACCACGAUGCUCUGCCUCACAUUUAGCCUAGAGCUAUGGAGUCAGAAGUCUAGGAAUUGAACCUCUGAAACUAUGAGCCAAAAUAAACUUUUGCUCCUCUGUAUUGGUCUCAUUAGGUCUUUUGGUCAUAGUGACGCAAAGCUGACUAAAACAACCUUGUAUAUGGUGUUCGUAAUUCUGAUAAUCAGUAAAGGUGUGGUUGAAAAAUCUUCCUAAAACAUCAAAGCCCAGGACUCUUCUCUUUAUCCUUUCCAUCAUCCGAUCCAAGGGUCUGAGUUGCUUAGGGCCUCACUAAGUUGCUGAAGCUGGCUUUGAACUCACGAUCCUGCUGCCUUAGCCUUACCAGCUGCUGGGAUUAUAGGUGUGCACCACUGUGCCUGGCGAUUUUUCACCUUUGAAACUAUCUCCAGCAAUGGGGGCGUUUCAGACUGCUCUCAGGAAUCCUUAUUCAUAUCGAACCCAGCGCCCCGCGCAAGCCAGGUGAGCGUACUACUGCUUGAGCCACAUCCCCAUCCCCUCUCUGAUUUUUUACUAUCAUCUCAUAGAGUAUAAAUAGGAAAAUAACUAUUCCUAUGCUGUUUAUAGGGGAAUAGGAAAACCAUGUGGAUUUUAAAAGUAUUUUUAUGUCAUACUUGUAUUUAAAAAUAACUAAAUCUAUAAUCACGUAAGCAUUUCUCUUCCACAAUUGUUUUAUUCUUUUCUUUCUUUUGGUUCUUGAGAUUUAACCCAGAGGUAUUUUGCCACGGGGCCACACACACCCCAAGCCUUUCUUCUUUUUUAUUUUGAGACAGGACCUCAUUAAAUUGCUGAAGCUGGUCUUGAACUUGUGAUCCUGUCUCAGCCUCACCAGUUUCUGGGAUUAUAGGUGUGUGCCGUGUGCUUGGCUUU